CGGACAGCAUGGGAAACUCCACCGACCCCUCGCCCCCUGCUCUCGCGAUCCCGUCGAGCGGCACCCACACCGGAGUCACCCCGACCCCAUCCCAUCGAGCGCGCGCGCCGGAGUCGCCGCCAUCCCCAUCGAGCGCGCUCGCGCUGGAUCUGCCCACCGUCCCAUCGAUUGCACCUAGGUCGUAGCCGCCCGCGCCGGAGUCAGCGCCAUCCGCGUCAGAGCCGCUCGCACCGGAGCCGCGUCGGAGCCACCUGGCGUCCACGUCGGGUGCCGCGCGAACCGGCUGACCAAACGGUGAGUGACUGAUUCUCUCGCCGCUGGUCUUCACCCGUCGCCCUCAGCCUCCACGGCGGUGGUGCGCGUGGGUGGAUAGCGGCGAGAACCGCGGUGCUGCUGUCUCCGCCUCCCGCCCCGCCUCUUCCUCCUGCAUUGUCCUUUACCACCCCUCCGCCUUCUGCUCCGCUAGUCUCCUCUCCCCCGACGCCACCACGACCAGGAGCCCCACCACCUCCCCAGUCCGGUUGCCUGCCUGCACCGCUGCAGCGCCACUACUCCUCUUCCCCACGUCGAUGCAGAGCGGAGGAAAGGCCAGGACGAAGCAGGCGGUGGUAGCAUGACGGCGCAGGCGAGUAGCUGGGAUAUGGAAGACGGGUGAUGGCAGCCGAUGUGAAGUGGGUGGGGCUGUUGCAUCGCGCGUCUCCUCACGUGGGAGGCCAGACGAGCAGCGUCACCGCGGCAAAAGCUCAGGCGGUCCUGUAUCCCGAUGCUGUUCCAGGGGGCAGCAGCUCGCCAUGGUCGCUGGCCGCAUAGGCGUGUCCACCGUUGCUACUGGUAAUUUUGGAAAUGUCGGCCAAUCAUUAUGAUUGAUCACACAAAGUCGAUGCAGAUACAUGUUGAAUUAGUCAGCAACAAGGGAACCACGGUGGUCAUAUUUAGUCAGCAACAAAUACAUGCAGGUUACUCCUCUUCUUGAAAAAUGAUUCAUCUGAUUAAUUUAUUCAGUUGUCUUCUCCACCGCUUGCAAUUUGUAUUUCCUGUAAUACUCUUACAUAGUGUUAUAAUAAUUGUUAAUGAUUAAAGUUUAAAUUUGUCACUUUAUAGUGUUCGCUUGUUCUUUUUUUUCUUUGUUAUGGCUUUUCCUUUGUCAAAAUAAGGUGUGGUUUUCCAGCAUCAUGCAUAUGCUCAAUUACUCAUGUGCAAUUAGAGAUUUCUUACUAUUCGUUAAGCCCUCUUCUACAUAUACUUUGCGCUCAAGCACUAAAUUCUCUGUUUUUUGUGCGGUGGCAACACAAUGGAACCAUCGCUUUGGGGAGCAAGAGCGCUAGAGUUUAAUGAACUCAGUCGCAACUACAUCCAUCGAGAUUCAAUUGGACUAUACAUGUAAGAAUAUCAAGGAUGUGGAAAUUUGGUGGAACAUCAGAAGAUCGCCCUGUGAAGGACCUACAUCUGAUUGCUGUUGAUGGGAAGGUCACAGUUGUACCCAUAAAAGAACCUGCACAAUUAUUCUAAGAGUUGUGAAAAGGUGAAAAGAAAAUAACUUAAAAAGAAGAGAAGAAGGUACAACAACCACUAAUCUUAAGAGGUAUGAAAUAUAGAACUCUGUUUUUAUGUAAAUGGUUUCUUAGAGCAAAUAUUAUGAUAUAGAGAAUUAAUGAUUGAGUGAAGAUUGAAAAUGUAUGAUGUUUGCUCUUUUUCCCCCCACUUCUGUACCAGUAGUUGUAGUCGAAUUCAUCUCCUUUCUACAAACUUUGUUCAUACUAAUGGAGGCUGGUGAAAGUAGAGUACAUAAUAUGUUUGCUUCUGGAGAUGCCUACAUCAGUGUUCAUUAUCAGAAAUGAUACA